rnacentral:lncRNA from 1 species
AUGACGAAAGGAAGUAGUCGCAAACUCGCCGGAAGUCGCUUAGACGCCUGCCCCACGGUGGGCGCCAACUGUCGUGGGUAUAAGCCUGACAGUAGAUGUCUAGGGUACGAAUGAGAUGGGCAGAGUCCUAGCUACGGCGAGGUUGUAUGAGUUCAGGCCCCUCUACGGUGGAGGUAAUAGCCCUACGUCUCAGUGCUCUCGGAGCUUGUUACCGAGUGUAAUAUGGAGUACAAUGUUUGCUAACCCCUUGACCAGUGGGGGAGGGCGGCUUAUAUAGAGUGCGCUGCCCUCCACAACGGUUCUGACUCAGGGGUGGAGUAGUGGCGAUUGAAUGCAUACGUUACAGGUAACGUAUGCUCUAAAUGCUAAUAAACGCACCCGGAAACGUACGGCAGUUUCCCUCCAGAGAGGUUACGACGUACCGAGUGUAUCCAGUCGGUUGGCCUAAUGCCAUCCGAAUGCUAGCCUCCGACUGGAUGAUUCUGGGCAUGUUAUCGACUGGAUGAUGGGGACUCCUUAAUUCAGUCGGGGUUGACUUAAGGUCCUAUCCUUUAUGUGGGGUAGUCCUUGGGUAGGACAUGUA